rnacentral:rRNA from 1 species
UACGGAGGGAGCUAGCGUUAUUCGGAAUUACUGGGCGUAAAGCGCACGUAGGCGGCUUUGUAAGUCAGAGGUGAAAUCCUGGAGCUCAACUCCAGAACUGCCUUUGAUACUGACGAUCUCGAGUCCGGGAGAGGUGAGUGGAACUGCGAGUGUAGAGGUGAAAUUCGUAGAUAUUCGCAAGAACACCAGUGGCGAAGGCGGCUCACUGGCCCGGUACUGACGCUGAGGUGCGAAAGCGUGGGGAGCAAACAGG